GUGCUUGCAUCAGCAUCACAUAUACUUAAAUUUAAAUGAUACAGAGAAGAUUAGCAUGGCCCCAUGUGCAAGGAUGACACACAGAUUUGUGAUUUCUAAAUUUUU